GUGCCAGCAGCCGCGGUAAUACGGAGGGUGCAAGCGUUAAUCGGAAUUACUGGGCGUAAAGCGUGCGUAGGCGGUUCGUUAAGUCUGCUGUGAAAGCCCCGGGCUCAACCUGGGAAUGGCAGUGGAUACUGGCGAGCUAGAGUGUGAUAGAGGAUGGUGGAAUUCCCGGUGUAGCGGUGAAAUGCGUAGAGAUCGGGAGGAACAUCAGUGGCGAAGGCGGCCAUCUGGAUCAACACUGACGCUGAGGCACGAAAGCGUGGGGAGCAAACAGGAUUAGAAACCCGAGUAGUCC
rnacentral:rRNA from 1 species